AUGGCUCUUACUGAAGACUAGCAGUUGUACUGUAGCUGUUAGUUUCAAGCAGAAGCCUAAAGAACAAUCUUCCUAUGGCUUAUUAGCUGUUCUGGACCCUCAGUAGAGAAUGACUAUUUCGUUUGGAAGAAACAACC